rnacentral:lncRNA from 1 species
GUCCAACCAAGACGUCAUAGGUAUAUGUCUAAAGAGGUUUGGCUUAUAGCAAAUUAGGCUCUUUUGAAAUAUAAAAAGGUUUGGUAUCAUUUUUAGACUUAAAAUGUUUUUAAAUGAUUUUGCAAAAGAAAUAGAGGCCGCUCAAGUGGCUAAUCCUACUCAAGCAAUCAGCUCGCUCAAACGUUGUAAGUUCGCUCAAACGAUCAUGUCAAUCCUACCGAGAUUAGAAACAGAUUUUGGAUGAAUUUCACUCAAACUCCAUUUUGAAAACUUAAGAUACUGAAACUCUUUGUGGUUUUCUCCUAUAAAUACCUCAUUAUAACCCCUUGAGGGUUAGAGAUCUUAGAAAUUAAGAGAUCUCACUUUAGUUGAGAAGGUUUCAUUGAGGGGAUCCUUCUAGCAAUUCCUAGAGAGAAAGUCUAAUGUGCCACAACAUUCUCACUCUCUCACUCAAAAUUUUGAUCUUUGAUUAUUGGGUUGAAAAUCAUCUUCCCUUCAAGGUGGCUAAAGGAUCUACUAGGGAGCAACAGAAGGUUGUUGUGUUGUAAACGCAAAUUAAGUUAUAGGUAUUGGAGAGUAAGCCUUUAAGAUAAAGCAAUUAGGUAAAUCUAUGUAAUUUUGAUUUUGAAUAAUGGAUUUAAAUUAGUGGUCUUAGACCUUAUGGUUUUUUAUCUCCAUAGUUAGUAUAAAGGUUUUCCACGUAAAAAUCUUAUGUCCCAUCACAUAUCUUUAUUCAUGUUUAUAUUUUGAUUGAUUAUAUUGAUUUCCCUUAAUUGAUUUGUUGGGUUGUUAUUGAGUUUGUUAUCAUGGUUAUUUUGGUAGUUAUUAUUCUCUAACAUCUUUUAUCCCUAACUAAUUAGGAUAUUUCUAAAAGGUAAAAACUUAGUUUUUUAUAAAUCUAAAGAUUUUAGAUAUAACCCAUUAAAUUAUUUAAGAUACCUUUGAUAUCUAUUAGAUUAAAAGAAUUGGGUAUAAUAUAAAAAUAUUUAUUGAAAAUAUUUUAAUCACCUAUUCUCUCUCCCCUUCUAGUUGUUCUCUAUUGGACUUUCAGUGGUUUUUCAACUUUGACUACCAUGUUAGGACAUUGAGUCCUAUUUAUAUGUUGACAAUUCUAUUUAAAUUAAUAUUUGGUCAUAGAAGUCUUUUUAGAUAGUGACAUGCUCUUCAUUGAAGAUCAAUAAUUGUUGUUCAUCCAACCAAAAGUCACAAGCACAUUUAAAAAGGUUUGGCUUGUGGCAUAUAAAGCUUCUUUGAAGUAUAAAAAGGUUCAGUAUCAUUAGGAGCCCAAAUAAGAAGCUUAGGUAAUGGCAAUCUGUUCAGAUGAUAAGCUGGAAGGCUGAUGCAAUUUCACAUGGCACAACGCAAAGUGACACCUAAGGUGCACGCGUCUUAUCAAAACCAAGCAA